GCCUCAUCUAGCUGCAAGUGUUUAGCCUCUAGGUUCCGCCAAUUUCCAGGUUGCUCUGGAGUUUCUGUCCCUGACCGGAAAGGGUGUGUCUGAACUACAGAAACAAAAAUUAUGUUGCGCCCCUUGGCGGCCGGUGGAAGGAUUGUGGUGUGCCCGUCUACUUCCUGGAAAUGGGCUUUCAGGACACAUUGUCAACUUGUUGCCUGUUAUUUCCAGGGCUCUGGAAGAAAAGUGUAGCUCUCCUGUGUAAAGGUAAGGAGGUUGGGUGAUCUGGAUUGAUGGAAU
rnacentral:lncRNA from 1 species